UUUCAGCAGUUGUUGUGGGUUCAGCUCUUGCUGUUGUUGUUGGUUCAGUAGUUGUGGAUUCAGCAGUUGUUGUUGUGGCUUCAGCAGUUGUUGUGGGUUCAGCUCUUGCUGUUGUUGUUGGUUCAGUAGUUGUGGAUUCAGCAGUUGUUGUUGUGGCUUCAGCAGUUGUUGUGGGUUCAGCUGUUGUUGUUGAUUCAGUAGUGGUUGUGGGUUCAGCUGUUGUUGUUGUGGGUUCAGCUGUCGUUGUAGUGGGUUCAGCAGUCGUUGUUGUGGGUUCGGCGGUUGUUGUGGGUUCGGUGGUUGUUGUUGGUUCAGCAGUUGUUGUUGUUGUUGUGGGUUCAGCCAUGGUUGUUGUGGGUUCAGCUGUUGUUGUUGGUUCAGCUGUUGUGUUAGGUUCAGAAGUUGUUGUAGGUUCAGCUGUUGUUGUUGUGGGUUCAGCAGUUGUUGUUGUUGGUUCAGUAGUUGUUGUGGGUUCAGCUGUUGUUGUGGGUUCAGCUAUUUUUGUCGUAGUUUGUUGAGAAGUUGUUGUUGGUGGUGGUGGUUGAGGAGUGGUUGUUGUUGUGGGUUUAGCAGUUGUUAUUGCCGCCGUCGUUUUGGGAGAAAAUGUUGUUCGUUGUGUAGUUGUCUUGAAAGAACCAUUUGUUGUUGCUGUUGUUUUGGAGGUACCAGCUGUUGUUGCUGUUGUUUUGGAGGAACCAGCUGUUGUUGCUGUUGUUUUGUAGGAACCAGCUGUUGUUGCUGUUGUUUUGGAAGAACCAGCUGAUGUUGGUGGUGCAUUUGUCGGAUUACAUGGGGUUGUAUUUGUUGAUUCACUGGGUGUAGAUGUUGCAGUUGUUUUGGGGUUAGGAGUUGUUUUUAGUGAAGUUGUGCUUGGUGCAAUUGUUGUUUUAGAUGUUGUAGGUUUAGCAGGUGUUGUUGUUGUAAAUGAUAGUUUAGGAGGUGUUGUUGUUGGUUUAGCAGUUGUUUUUGAGGAACCAGCUGUUGUUGCUGCUGUUGUUCUGAGGAAAACAGCUGUUGUUUUUCCAGUUGUUUUGGGAGAAGCAGCUGUUGUUGCUGCCGUUGUUUUGGGGGAGGUGGUCUUUGUUGCUGCUGUUGUUUUGGAUGAAGCAGCUGUUGCUGCUGCUGUUGUUUUGGAUGAAGCAGCUGUUGUUGCUGCUGUUGUUUUGGCGGAGGUAGUCUUUGUUGCUGCUGUUGUUUUGGGGAAAGGAGCUGUUGUUGUUGCAGUUUUUUGGGGGGAACCAGUUGUCGUUGCUGCAGUUGUUUUGGGGAAACCAGCUAUUGUUGUGGCUGCUGUUGUUUUGGCGGAGGUAGUCUUUGUUGCUGCACUUGUUUUAGGGGAAGCAGCUGUUGUUGCUGCUGUUGUUUUGGAUGAAGCAGCUGUUGUUGUCGCUGCUGUUGUUUUGGCGGAGGUAGUCUUUGUUGCUGCACUUGUUUUAGGGGAAGCAGCUGUUGUUGCUGCUGUUGUUUUGGAUGAAGCAGCUGUUGUUGUCGCUGCUGUUGUUUUGGCGGAGGUAGUCUUUGUUGCUGCAGUUGUUUUAGGGGAAGCAGCUGUUGUUGUUGCAAUUGUUUUGCGGGAAGCAGUUGUUGCUGCUGCAGUUGUUUUGGGGGAACAAUCUGUUGUUGUGGCUGCUGUCGUUUUGGAUGAAGCAGCUGUUGUUGCUGCUGUUUUGGGGGAACAAGCUGUUGUCGCUGCUGGUGUUUUGGCGGAACCAGUUGUCGAUUCUGCAGUUGUUUUGGGGGAAGAAGCUGUUGUUGUUGCAGUUGUUUUAGGGGAAACGGUCGUCGUUGCUGCAGUUGUUUUGGGGGAAGCAGCUGUUGUCGCUGCUGUUGUUUUGAUGGAGGUAGUAACUGUUUGUGCAGUUGUUGGUUUGUCAAUUGUUGUUGUUGAGUCACUAGUUUUUGUUGGUGUCACAGAUGUUAUUGUUCCUGACCUAGAUGUUGGGAAUGUAGUCAUAGUCGGUCUGUCAGUUGUGGGCCUUGUUGGUUUAGUGGUUGUCGUUGGUAAUGUAGUAACAGUUGUUUUAAAUGUAGUUGUUGGACCUGGACAAGGAGUGUUUUUUGUUGUAGUGGUUUGUGGUGCAGCAGUUGUUGUAGUUUUUGGUUGAGUUGCUCUAAUUGUUGGUUUAACAGUGGCUGGAGUUGUUGAUUCAGUUGUUGCUGAUUCAGUUGUUGAAGUUGUAGUUGUUGAUUCAGUUGCAGUUGAUUCAGUUGUUGGAUUAGCAGUUGUUGGUGGUGUACAAGGAGUGUUUUUUGCUGUAGUGGUUUGUGGUGCAGCAGUUGCUGUAACUGUUGGUUUUGCAGAUGUUGUAGUUUUUGAUUUAGUUGUUGUUAAUGAUUCAGUUGUUGUCAUUGUUGAUUCACUUGUUUCAGUUGUUGUAGUUGUUGGUUUAGCUGUUGUUUUCAUUGUUGAUUCCGUUAAUUCAGUUGUCUCUGUAAUUGUUGGUUUAGCAGUUGUUGUUGUUGUUGUUAAUGUAGUAGUUGUUGGUUCAAGAGUUGUUGGAUUAGCAGUUGUUGGACCUGGACAAGGAGUGGUUUUUGUUGCAGUGGUUUGUGGUGCAGCAGUUGUUGUAGUUGUUGGCUUAGUGGUUGUUGUUGUUGUUGUUGUUAAUGUAGUAACAGUUGUUGGACUUGGGGAAGAAGCUGCUUCUGUUGAUGUUCUUGUUUUUAAUGUAGUAGUUGUUGGUCCAGGAGGCAUUGGACCUGGACAAGGAGUGGUUUUUGAUGUAGUGGUUUGUGGUGCAGCAGUUGUUGUAGUUGUUGGCUUAGUGGUUGUUGUUGUUGUUGUUGUUGUUAAUGUAGUAACAGUUGUUGGACUUAGGGAAGAAGCUGCUUCUGUUGAUUUUGUUUUUAAUGUAGUAGUUGUUGGUCCAGGAGGCAUUGGACCUGGACAAGGAGUAGUUUUUGUUGUAGUGGCUUGUGGUGCAGCAGUUGUUGUUGUUGUUGUUAGUUUAGUGGUUGUUGUCGUAGUUGUUGGUGUAGCAGCUGCUAAUGGGGCACAGGUUGUUGUUUUUGCAGUAGUUUGUGUGUUGAGAAAAGCUGUUUAACAAACAGAAAUUCCACCACAAUAUAAUAUAGACAAUCAGACAAAUUUACUUUGUAUACAAUCAUGUUUUAUAUCUCUUUUUCAUAAGCAACACUUUUUUUCUCACCUCCGAUUAUUACGUCAAUGACAGUCCCCUGUGGGGCAGCAGAUGCUGUUGGAGCAGCUGUUGUCUCCAUAAAAGCUGUGGGUUAGAAAAUUUUUAAAAAUAAAAAAGUUCAUUUAUUCA
rnacentral:lncRNA from 1 species